rnacentral:rRNA from 1 species
ACAAUGGGCGCAAGCCUGAUGCAGCCAUGCCGCGUGUAUGAAGAAGGCCUUCGGGUUGUAAAGUACUUUCAGCAGUGAGGAAGGUGGAUAUGUUAAUAGCAUAUUCAUUUGACGUUAGCUGCAGAAGAAGCACCGGCUAACUCCGUGCCAGCAGCCGCGGUAAUACGGAGGGUGCGAGCGUUAAUCGGAAUUACUGGGCGUAAAGCGCAUGCAGGUGGUUUGUUAAGUCAGAUGUGAAAGCCCGGGGCUCAACCUCGGAAUUGCAUUUGAAACUGGCAAACUAGAGUACUGUAGAGGGGGUAGAAUUUCAGGUGUAGCGGUGAAAUGCGUAGAGAUCUGAAGGAAUACCGGUGGCGAAGGCGGCCCCCUGGACAGAUACUGACACUCAGAUGCGAAAGCGUGGGGAGCAAACAGGAUUAGAUACCCUGGUAG